AGAGUAAAAACAUGGACAUAAAAGUAAACUGCAAUAUCCUUUCUCUUUCUUCCAUUCUCAUUUUCCUAUUUUAAAGAAACUUCCACCCAUAUUUUUUUGGAAUGACUAUAAUCAACAAUUGUAUGACCUUUACAGGAUUGUGUACGAAGAUUAUGAAACCGACGAUACUGUGGGCAGUAUGCAAGAUGAUGGGUCAAGCAAAACUAGGCCGUCAAAGAAAUGUGCAGUGUCACCUGGGAUUAUGAAUUGAAGAACAGAGUGGAGCUGCAGACAACCUCCAUUAAAACAAGACUGUUCAGGUUGAUUGAUAGAAGCCUGCCAUAUGUCACAAUCAAAAUAGUUGCUGCCAUUGUUGGCUUUUCAAUUUUAUGUUUUGCAUUACAAGUAAUUUAAAAACAAUUUUAGUGCUA